CUCGUUCUGUUAAAUGGCUGAGUUCCAUCAAUAUAAUUGAAAAUGAGUGUCAGGGAUUCUUUAUGCAAAGGGACUACAAAAUGUUUCCUCCUACUGUGAACUGGGAAAAUAUUGAUUGGUCAACCCGGAGGCCUC